rnacentral:lncRNA from 1 species
GCUCAGGUGUGUCAGCACACAGAUAAUGAGGAUGGCUGCCCUGCCAAGGCUGACAAAAUUGAAGAAGCACAAAAAGAGCUUAAUGGGGCAGAAGUUUCCAAAAAAGAAAUCUUAGAGGCUGGUGUUAAAGGAGCUUCUGAGUCUCUUAAAGGUGUGAAACGAAAAAAGAUUGUUGCCGAGAAUCACCUGAAAAAAAUACCGAAAUCCCCCCUGAGAAAUCCUCUUCAGACAAAACACAAGCAGAACACAGAAGAGCCGUUGUUCAGUGCUCUCCAGAGCGCACCGGAGUCUCACAAGAAACACAACUGUGUCCCUGUUAAACAGGGGAGGCAAUUUACCAAGCAAAAUGGAGAAACACCGGGGAUGACUGUUGA